UUGAAUUUUCAAGACGAGGAAUUUUUUGUGAAUUUAACGGUGGAUAGCUCACUGUGAGAUGAUUAUGUUCUUCGAAAUACAUUAGAACUGAUGUAAAUAUUUAAUCUCCUUAUCCGUUUUAAGAAUCACAUUCGUGUACAGGCUAAGCGCAAAUAAUGUCUGGUAAUCGAUAUUCCAUCGUAUGGAGAUAUUUGGCAGAUGUGCCACGAGAAGCUCUGAGUGUAGAAAUUUACCCAGCAUACUUUAAAGCAAAUAUUAGUUGGCUGAGGAAAUUAAAGCUUAUCAUCUCCCAAACCGUUUUGCAGCAAGGAAUUCAGGUCUCCUAAUUUUUUAAUUAUUUCAUUCAGUAUCUCAGUUUAAACGUUAUUUGAAAUAAUCUGUGCUACAAUCUGUAAAUUCAAUUUACAGUAGGAGGAAAAACAAGGAUUACAACACUACCCUUUUGUAGCAGUCGAAACAAGUAUUCUAAUUUUAGAAUACUUGCCUUUGGUUCAAGGGUCCAAGAACUUAUUUCAAUGAGAGCGGGAGUGUUUGGUGAUGUUAGUGUUUUUGUGUUGGUUGGGCUGUGGUCUAGCAGUAAACUGGUGGGAAUUUAUGUGGUCUAGGGGGUAAAUUGGUGAUAUUUUAUGUGGUCUAGCAGUGAUUUGGCGGAAGUUUAGCACUUCUAUUCCAAUUUUAGUUUUGAAGGCUACCUGUGGUUUGGGAACCUUAGAGUGACUCCAUUCUAGGAGUUCGAUCCUCACAGCCGGGGAAAAAGGGCUUACCAACCAAAUAGAAAUAAUUGUAGUUUUUUGAUGGAGGCAUUGGCAGUGCGGUGUGCAUUCAAGUUUCAUUCGCAAGGUAAGGGAAACGAUGCAUUUUAUGUGAGAGCAAAGCCUUCUGAUUUUGGUGGUAAAACACUGCCAUUGAGAUGGAAGGAUAAUGACAAUGGCAUUAGAAUGAGAAUGUCGGCAAUUCAUAUUGGGAAGGAAAAGGAAAGGGAAAAGGAAGACGAAGUGGAUUUUGAUUGGCACAUCGAUCUUGAAACUGAGAAGGAAAUGGAAGGGGAAGUGGAUUCUGAUUGGGAACGAGAAAUUUUGAAUGAGAUUGACCCCUUAGGCUUUAAAUCUCCAUGGCAGAGAUCAAAGUACAAGUCAUCAGUAAGAGAAGAAGAAGAAGAUAUAGAAAUUAGGGAUUGGGUUACAAGAGCUAGGAAUAAGGCUUUUAAAGCCAUUGAGGCCAGAGGAUUUAGCUCAUCCUCUGUAGAAAAGUUGUUGCCUUCUAAGAAGAAGAAACGAAAAAGUCAAAAGAAUAAGAAGAAGACGGUCAAUAGAAAGAAAGAUAAGUUUGAAGUAGAUGACGACGAUGAUGAUUUUGAUUUUGAUUCUGAUUCUUAUACUCAAUUAGAAAGUGCUGCUAUAGAAAAGAUAAGUGAAAAACAUGAUAAAAUGCAAUUUGAUUUCAGAGAAAAACUUGUAGCCAUUUCAGGACCAACCAACAGGAAGAAAGAGGUUGCCUUGAAUAAUGCUUUGGUAGAGGCAGCGACUGCACAGGAUGUUCUUAUAGAAGUGACAGAUGUGAUUGAAGCUGUUAGCAAAGGUUUAAGUCCUUCUCCCUUGAAUCCAUUGAAUAUGGCAACUGCUCUUCACAGGAUAGCCAAAAACAUGGAAAAGGUUUGUAUGAGCAAGAGUGAUAGAUUGGGGUUCGUAAGGCAGAGGGAUAUGGCUGUGCUUGUGAGUCUUGCAAUGGGCUCCUUGCCUCAUUGCUCUGCUCAAGGCAUAUCCAAUAUUGCUUGGGCAUUGUCCAAAAUUGGUGGAGAAACUAUUUACUGGUCUGAGAUGGAUAGAAUAGCAGAAGUGGCCAUGACAAAAAUGUCGGAGUUCAAUACACAAAAUGUUGCCAAUCUAGCAGGUGCAUUUGCAUCCAUGCAACAUUCUGCUCCAGACCUGUUCACUGAAUUGUCAAAUAGGGCAUCCUGCAUGGCAAGUUCCUUUAGACCACAGGAACUUGCACAAUUUCUAUGGUCAUUUUCUGUUCUGUACCAUCCUGCAGAUCCCUUUUUGGAUUCACUUGACUCCAUUUAUGUUAGUGGGAAAACUAAAAAUGCCAAUUGCAUGGACUCCAAAGUAAAUGCUAUGGACGUUACAAAAAGUGGUGAAUCUGAUCAAGAUCAUUUUGAACUAAAUUGUGAGGCCAAUAUCCCACAGAUGGAUUUGAAUGAUCCGUUGCAUAGUAAAGAUGAAAAUGAUUUUCCAGAGACUAUUGAAGACUUGGAACUUGAUGAUUGUUCUGAAACACUUGAGAGUAAUUUGGAUCUCCAUGUUUCGAUGGGCCCUCUGUUCGAUGACUUCACAAGGGACCAGCUAGCAGUUGUUGCAUGGUCAUACAUGGUUCUGAACCAAAUGGGACGUUCUUUCUUUUCUUUUAUCUGGAGCUCAAUGAUUGAGUUUGAAUCCCAAAGAAUUUCACCGCUUUACCAUCAGGAUGUGAAGUUUGCACAACAGCUGCACCAGAUAAAUCAAUGUUUGAAGCUAGAAUAUCCUUAUCUUGCACUAUCAAUUGGGACCGAGCUUGAGAAAAGAGUUGCAGAAGCUUGUAAAUCAAAAAGGUUUAAUAAGAAAGUAACUUCCUUGUUUCAGAAGGAAGUAGCACAUCUCCUUGUGAGCACAGGUUUUGAUUGGGUUCAAGAAUACUGUGUAGAUGGUUAUAUUCUGGAUGCAGUAAUAAGUAACAAAAAGGUUUGUUUGGAGAUUGAUGGUCCAUCCCACUUUUCACGAAAUACAGUAACUCCUCUUGGUCAUACCAUGCUGAAGCGGCGCUACUUGGCUUCUGCUGGUUGGCAUGUUGUGUCAUUGCCCUGGCAAGAUGUGAAGGCUACAGAGGUGUGAGACAUGCAUCAUAGGUGUAGGAAUCAUUGGAGAAGGAAGAUUUAGCCAUCAAAGUGGAAAGAACUUUCUGGUGAAUCUGAGCAGAUGGAGUACUUAAAGACACUUCUCAACAAUGUUUUGUGAAAAUGACUGGGAGUCAACUAGCAAAACAAUCUGAACUAAUCCUGCACAUGUAUGGUUACUGGAAUUCUGUCUUUGAAUUCUACAAGGGUAAUGCUUUUAUUGGCUUCCUUGCUAGCUUGUAGUUCAUUGCGUUAUUUGUAUUUGAAAAUUGAUACAAGAAGUUGCUUGUUGAACAAGUUUUGAAGUCUUGGUCAAAUGUAUUACAAUAUUGCAUGAUUUAUAUCCUUGUAAAAGAGUGAACAUCAACAUAUUGUAUUCUGAGACUCUUCUUUUCAACAAUGGAAGCAACCUUUAUUUUUC